rnacentral:misc_RNA from 1 species
GAAAUGCGAUAAGUAAUGUGAAUUGCAGAAUUCAGUGAAUCAUCGAAUCUUUGAACGCACAUUGCGCCCCUUGGUACUCCGAGGGGCAUGCCUGUUCGAGCGUCAUUUAAACUCUCAAGCCCCGCUUGGUGUUGGGUGCGGCCCCCCGGGCCCUCCCGUAACUCGUUGGGCGGGACCGUCUGGCUCUAAGCGUAGCAAGAAUCUUCCCUCGCUUCGGAGCUCCGGCGGCCCUCGCCCGGGAACCAACCCCCCAAAGUUUGACCUCGGAUCAGGUAGGGAUACCCGCUGAACUUAA